GCUUGCUUCUUGGGGUUGUAGGACACUCUAUACGGAGUUACAAAAGAAAGUUAUAAAUGAAGCGGUCUGGAAAGGCCCGCCAAAGACGGUAACAGCCCGGUAGUUGAAAUGGCUUUCCCUCCAGAGUGGAUCCUGAGUACGGCGGAACACGUGAAAUUCCGUCGGAAUCCGGGAGGACCAUCUCCCAAGGCUAAAUACUCCCUAGUGACCGAUAGUGAACCAGUACCGUGAGGGAAAGGUGAAAAGCACCCCGGAAGGGGAGUGAAACAGUUCCUGAAACCGUGUGCCUACAAGUAGUUAGAGCCCGUUAAUGGGUGAUAGCGUGCCUUUUGUAGAAUGAACCGGCGAGUUACGAUUUGUUGCAAGGUUAAGCGGAAAAAGCGGAGCCGUAGCGAAAGCGAGUCUGAAUAGGGCGCAUAAGUAACAGGUCGUAGACCCGAAACCAGGUGAUCUACCCAUGUCCAGGAUGAAGGUAAGGUAAUACUUACUGGAGGUCCGAACCCACGCACGUUGAAAAGUGCGGGGAUGAGGUGUGGGUAGCGGAGAAAUUCCAAUCGAACUUGGAGAUAGCUGGUUCUCUCCGAAAUAGCUUUAGGGCUAGCCUCGAGGUAAAGAGUCAUGGAGGUAGAGCACUGUUUGGACUAGGGGCCCUUCUCGGGUUACCGAAUUCAGAUAAACUCCGAAUGCCAUGUACUUAUACUCGGGAGUCAGACUGCGAGUGAUAAGAUCCGUAGUCGAAAGGGAAACAGCCCAGACCACCAGUUAAGGUCCCCAAAUAUAUGUUAAGUGGAAAAGGAUGUGGGGUUGCUUAGACAACCAGG
rnacentral:rRNA from 1 species